UCUAACCGCCAAAACAAGAACACACAAUAGCAGGCUUACCGUUCACCUGAAAGACCUCUAUUGCACGCCUAUAUGUACCAUACGCUCUCUCACUGAAAAACCGUUUUACUUUCUCUCUCCGCAGCGAGCACCAAAAACACCGUGAAGCAUGUCGCCGAAGCUGAAAGAUCCCUUCGCGCAAGACGAUACGAACAAGCUAGAGUCUUCCGCCGAGAAUCUUACCGUCGAACUACCUUUGAAGAAGAAGACGCAACUCUCGCCGUCCAAAAUCGUCCAGAAAGAAGACUCUAAGGAGGUUCCCGCAAGUGAAGAUACUGUCGCAGCAGAUGUUUUAGACAUUUCGACUUCUCAAGUAGACCUCCAAGUUCCGGAGAAGCAUUUUGAGAAGUUCCAAGAUGCGAAAUCGAAUGAGAUGACGUCAGGUAUAUAUAGUGCUUGAAGGUACUAGGAUCGUUGAGAAACGCUAUCUUCUGCUGAUAAAGGAUCGUCAAAAAAAGUAACUGUGGAGUCCUCUGUGGAGAAUAGCCCAGAAUCUUCAUCACAAUCUAUGAAGGAGUCCUCUCCUGAGGCGAAUGGAGGAGGUCGGCAGGCGCUAAAAGUGCAGCAGCUGCAGCAGAGCAGUGACGAGAUUAAUAUCGCGUCUGAUUAAGUGCAAGCCAUAAAGGCUAUUCCAAGCGUCAGCGUGAAUCGGGACUCUCUAGAUAACGUAUCACCUGGCGUCAAAUCGAUCUCUGAGAGUGGAGCGGUUGUGGAGGAAGCCUGGGAGAGGCUCAACAAGUCUUACGUGUUAUUCAAGGGCAAGCCUGUUGGGACUCUCGCCGCUAUGGAUCCUGGCGCUGAGGCUUUGAACUAUAAUCAGGUUUUUGUGAGACUUUGUUCCUAGCGGCUUAGCAUACCUAAUGAAAAAUCCUUCUGAACCUGAGAUUGUGAAGAAAUUUCUCCUAAAGACUCUCCAUCUCCAAGGUCGAGAAAAGAGGAUUGACAACUUCACUCUUGAAGAAGGUGUCAAUGCCUGCAAGUUAUAAGGUUCUGUAUUACACAUCUGAUGGUAAGACCAGCAGAUAUGUCGAGAAGCAAGCAAGAAACUAUCAGACCUGGAACAUUGCUGGCUAUUUGGUUGCUAAAACGAUGAUAGAGAAUCCUUCCAAUCUUCUGAGCAUCUCUCUUGUAGAAGAUAAGAAGAUAGCCAAGCCAACACUUACCCGCUCAGCCUCAUUCUAAGAAGUACCUCAGGAAAUUUUAUGGAGAAAGGAAUGUUAAUACAAUUGCAAUAGCAAGAAAAUAUUGCUGAUACAUAGACGGUAAUUAGUAUCUUACCCAUUCUAGCAGUGGCUAUACCCUGCAUUUUAUAAACUGAGGGUGAAAAUUCACUUUCUUUUGGUGAUU